UGACUCCUAAAUGUGUAUUAAGGUCUGUUUAUAAGGUAAUUACUUUUUGCAAGCUUUUAUUUUGAAAAUCGCCUUUUUACAUUACGUGACUUUUAUUUUGACGCCACCUCCUGGCGGAAGAAGGAUACUGCUACGGAGAUUUACUGAAGGAGGGAAAGCGCGCAAUUGCGCUGCUUUAUGUCAUCAUAAACUGAUAAUUAAGCGCCUAGCCAGUACGGGAACAAGCUCUUACGGUGUUUUCUGAAGAAAGGUGUUUAAAGAAGAAAAGGUGAAUUUGUGUUCAAAAUAUGGCUAACGGCUGAACAUAAAUAAAAGGCUUCUGAAACAUCA